rnacentral:rRNA from 1 species
GUCCACGCCGUAAACGAUGAAUACUAGAUGUAGGAGGUAUCGACUCCUUCUGUGUCGAAGCAAACGCGAUAAGUAUUCCGCCUGGGGACUACGGCCGCAAGGUUGAAACUCAAAGAAAUUGACGGGGACCCGCACAAGCAGCGGAGCAUGGGGUUUAAUUCGAAGCAACGCGAAGAACCUUACCAGAACUUGACAUCGAGUGAAGAACGUUGUAAUGACGUUCGUCCCUUCGGGGACACGAAGACAGGUGUUGCAUGGUUGUCGU